AGUCGAACGGAAAGGCCCCUUCGGGGGUACUCGAGUGGCGAACGGGUGAGUAACACGUGGGUGAUCUGCCCUGCACUUUGGGAUAAGCCUGGGAAACUGGGUCUAAUACCGAAUAGGACCGCAUGCUUCAUGGUGUGUGGUGGAAAGCUUUUGCGGUGUGGGAUGGGCCCGCGGCCUAUCAGCUUGUUGGUGGGGUAAUGGCCUACCAAGGCGACGACGGGUAGCCGGCCUGAGAGGGUGUCCGGCCACACUGGGACUGAGAUACGGCCCAGACUCCUACGGGAGGCAGCAGUGGGGAAUAUUGCACAAUGGGCGCAAGCCUGAUGCAGCGACGCCGCGUGGGGGAUGACGGCCUUCGGGUUGUAAACCUCUUUCAGUAUCGGCGAAGCUCCAAGGUUUUCUUUGGGGUGACGGUAGGUACAGAAGAAGCACCGGCCAACUACGUGCCAGCAGCCGCGGUAAUACGUAGGGUGCGAGCGUUGUCCGGAAUUACUGGGCGUAAAGAGCUCGUAGGUGGUUUGUCACGUUGUCCGUGAAAACUCACAGCUUAACUGUGGGCGUGCGGGCGAUACGGGCAGACUAGAGUACUGUAGGGGAGACUGGAAUUCCUGGUGUAGCGGUGGAAUGCGCAGAUAUCAGGAGGAACACCGGUGGCGAAGGCGGGUCUCUGGGCAGUAACUGACGCUGAGGAGCGAAAGCGUGGGGAGCGAACAGGAUUAGAUACCCUGGUAGUCCACGCCGUAAACGGUGGGUACUAGGUGUGGGUUUCCUUCCUUUAGGGAUCCGUGCCGUAGCUAACGCAUUAAGUACCCCGCCUGGGGAGUACGGCCGCAAGGCUAAAACUCAAAGGAAUUGAC
rnacentral:rRNA from 1 species